rnacentral:rRNA from 1 species
AGUGAACGCUGGCGGUAGGCCUAACACAUGCAAGUCGAACGGCAGCACAGUAAGAGCUUGCUCUUACGGGUGGCGAGUGGCGGACGGGUGAGGAAUACAUCGGAAUCUACUUUUUCGUGGGGGAUAGCGUAGGGAAACUUACGCUAAUACCGCAGACGACCUACUGGAGAAAGCAUGAGAUCGUCGGACCUUGCGCGAUUUAAUGUGCCGAUGUCGGAUUAGCUAGUUGGCGGGGUAAAGGCCCACAAAGGCGAGGAUCCGUAGCUGGUCUGAGAGGAUGAUAAGCCACACUGGAAGUGAGACACGGUCCAGACUCCUACGGGAGGCAGGAGUGGGGAAUAUUGGACAAUGGGCGGAAGCCUGAUCCAGCCAUACCGCGUGGGUGAAGGAGGCCUUCGGGUUGUAAAGUCAUUUUGUUGGGAAAGAAAAGAAGCAGGUUAACACCCCGCUGUUCUGCCGGUACCCAAAGAAUAAGCACCGGCUAACUUCGU